rnacentral:rRNA from 1 species
GUACUGGCUUCGCUGAUUCCUCCUUUCUGAAGAACUGUAAUGUCAUUAAUUUGGUGUUGCAGGGAAACAGGACUGUUACUUUGAAAAAAUUAGAGUGUUUAAAGCAGGCUAACGCUUGAAUACAUUAGCAUGGAAUAAUGAAAUAGGACGUUCAAACCUAUUUUGUUGGUUUCUAGGAUUGACGUAAUGAUUAAUAGGGAUAGUUGGGGGCAUUAGUAUUCAAUUGUCAGAGGUGAAAUUCUUGGAUUUAUUGAAGACUAACUACUGCGAAAGCAUUUGCCAAGGAUGUUUUCAUUAAUCAAGAACGAAAGUUAGGGGAUCGAAGACGAUCAGAUACCGUCGUAGUCUUAACCAUAAACUAUGCCGACUAGGGAUCGGAUGAUGUUAAUUUUUUAAUGACUCAUUCGGCGCCUUACG